rnacentral:lncRNA from 1 species
UCUUUUUUAUAUUCUUUAUUCUUUUUUCAACUCUCAACAUUUAUAUUCAAAAUUUACAAUCAUAUUGACAACAGUGUAUCGAACAAAUAUAAUUCGAUCAUAGAUAAAUAGAUCCAUUUAUCCUCGUUUGGCACUUCACUUCAUUCAAAUAAUGCAAAUAAUUCAACCAUAGGAAAAUUGAGAAAAAAGAAAAGAGUGGAUAGAAGAAAACUCGAAAAUGGGGAGGUAAAUCAACUGGAACCACUCUUAGCAGAGGGCCGAAUCUUUUGCGAUAUGCCGGCCUUAGCAGAUAGAGAUAACAGAAGAAGGUUGAAGAAGAGAAAGGAGAAAGGGAAAAUGUCUUACGGUAGAGAAAUGGGUAAGACAAUUUCCAAAAAAAAGCUUUGGAUUU